rnacentral:lncRNA from 1 species
GUGCUUGGUCCAAACCAAAUAGUUAGGCAUGAAACCGUAUUUAAACAAGUGGCUGUGAAUAGUCCCCCAGGAAUCCUUUGAAUACUCCUUCCUGUUAUUGCAUUGGAAGCAUGGACAACAUACGAACCCAUUCUCUGGCUUGUUCGCUUUUGCCACUUCGAGAAAAUAAUGCAAGCCAUCAAUAAACACCUUGCUCCGUCUGUCUGCAUUAUACAUCCAAUGCCG